GAAGCUGGAGCAAGCGCCGCCUCUCUAGCAACUGUGGGCAAACGCGGGACCCUCUCCUGGGUACGACCUCCAAGAGUACCCGGGCCUCGCUGAUGCCCGACGGAGAGCCCUUGGCUUUUGUUGACUUGUUGACCUUUGCUACUGCGAUCUGGUUUUUCUGCGGGGAUAAAGUUCCUCAUUCUGUUGCUCGUCAUUGGGGUUACCAUCACUCGUUCAGACGGCCGAUUGGCUGAUGGUCCCCUCAAUCUCCGGGGAAAUGACUAGCCUCAGACACCUCAGAAAAUUGUUCCUUGGUGCCCCUUCGUGCUGAAAUGAAGAGUUCUGGAGAGAAUCUGAGGGAUUUGAGGAAUUUCAGAUGUUGGGGAUUUUUUCCCCCGCACAGGCAAUGAUUUUUUGUGUGAGGCUGAAACUGUUGGAGGCUUCCUGCGACCAUUCUUGAGAAUGGAGCGACCACAUAGGGGUGAGCAGAACCAAGAGAAUCUCAGGGAAAUGGAGCCACAUCAACUGAGUUAGGUCACCCCUAACUUCAACCCACACUUAAAAGUGUUAGAGAAGAUUCUACGAAGAGAGCAGACUCUUCUAGUACCUUUCAAUUCUCACCAUGUCUACUCUUCCAUAUUACUGUUACUGUGCAACUAGAAACUCAUCUGGCCUUGGAGGAGAAAGAACAGCAUCACUGAAAUGCUUGCAUCAGGCAUUGGGGAUGGGGGUACAGCAUGUAAUUACAAAGGAUCAAUAAGGGAGAAUUGAUAUAAAUAUAACUGAUAUAGUAUAUCAGUUUAAACAUGUAUUGACUCCAACAACGACAUGUAUUAAGAUAUGAAUUUCUGGUGCCCAAAGGCAUGUGGCCAAAUUCAGUUAAAAGGAGGUCUUACAGCACUAGUAUGUGGCCAGGAAUCCACGAAUGUUCGGAAUCUUGCCUCAUCAGCACCCCUUUCCUGCCUCAGAAGAAAGAAUAAGGCUGAUUACAUUGAUGACUAAUGCAGUUGCCUCGAGAGUUAUGAAUUCUCCAGAGACUGCCUCCAGAAUCUCAGCGCUUGUAAAGCCCUUCCAGGUGGGGCUGCCAUCCUCGUCAACCCUGUGAUACUUGUAGCACUCAGCCAACUCUCUCUUCUCACUGUCACAACUUCAGGAAACACUUUGAUCUUAAAUAUGCACUUGCUGAUAUAUAGUGAAUUCAAGCUUCAUCUUUAUUGCAGGACGACGGUAGUAUCUCCUCCCAAAGGCAUUUAUAAAACAGGAGACACAUGAGUUAAUUUGGAAGAGGUGGAAGGAAGUUCAGGAUUUCCUGACAUCCCUUCCAUGUUCUUCCUCCCAAGCAUAGUUCUGGUUGGUACCAUUUACUUUGGAAAAAUGGAAUAAGUCAUUAUGCUUCACUUAUUGAACUAAAACUUGAAAUUACAAUUUAUGAACCACCCUAGAAGCUGGAUCCAUUUGCAACAUGUACUUGAAUAAGGUUUUAAAAGUAACUGGGGCCGGGCGCAGUGGCUCAUGCCUGUAAUUCCAGGACUUGGGAAGGUCAAGGUGGGUGGAUCACCUGAGGUCAGGAGUUCAAGACCAGCCUGGCCAACAUGGUGAAACCCCAUCUCUACUAAAUAUACAAAAUUAGCCAGUCAUGGUGGUGCACACCUGUAGUCUCAGCCACUUGGGAGGCUGAGGCAGGAGAAUCACUUGAACCCAGGAGACAGAGGUUGCAGUGAUCCAAGAUCAUACCACUGCUCUCCAGCCUGGGUGAGACAGUCAGACGCCAUCCCAAAAAUAAAUAAUAAAAAUAAAUUUUAAAAAAUAAAAGUACUGGAUGCGAGGGUAAUAGGGAUUUCAAAAGUAUAGAAAGAUACUUUUCAUUGACUAUGUCCAAACCAUGCAGCAAAUCUUGACAUUGCAUUGACAUUUCAAAUAUUCAGUUAACCUUGAAGACUAUUCCCUUUAUCUUAUUUGUGCUUGCUUUUAUUAAUAAUCUAAUAAUUAUGUGGGUAGCCACUUACAACAGAGUGAUGGCCAAGCCUAAUUAGAUGAGUGUGUUUGAAAUGUGAUCUUAACAUUUAGAAGAACAGCAAGGAGAUGUGUUGUUUCAAGCUGUUAAAUGCUAAAAUAUGUGAAGUACUGAACAUCUUGUUUUGUAUUUUUUUCUUCUUAUGAAAACUGUCCUUUUAUAAAUAAAUGUCAAUUUGUACCAAAAGCCUAAAAUAUGUCAUACCCAAUGAUUCAGCUAUUCCAGGUUUGAUUAUAUGCUUGAAAAAAUAGAAUCACAUACUUGUUUAAAUAUGACUGUACAAAAGUGUUUAACAUAGCAUUAUUUAUUGCUUAAAAUUUUAGAAUCAAUUUAAAUAAAUCAUGAAAUGUCCUCGAA